ACGGGAGGCAGCAGUGAGGAAUAUUGGUCAAUGGGCGGAAGCCUGAACCAGCCAAGUAGCGUGCAGGAUGACGGCCCUAUGGGUUGUAAACUGCUUUUGUGCGGGGAUAAAAAGCGGGACGUGUCCCGCCUUGUAGGUACCGCAAGAAAAAGGACCGGCUAAUUCCGUGCCAGCAGCCGCGGUAAUACGGAAGGUCCGGGCGUUAUCCGGAUUUAUUGGGUUUAAAGGGAGCGUAGGCGGCCUUUUAAGUCAGCGGUCAAAUGUCAGCGCCCAACGCUGGCCUGCCGUUGAUACUGAUGGGCUUGAAUACACACAAGGAAGGUGGAAUUCGUCGUGUAGCGGUGAAAUGCUUAGAUAUGACGAAGAACUCCGAUUGCGAAGGCAGCCUUCUGGAGUGCGAUUGACGCUGAGGCUCGAAAGCGCGGGUAUCAAACAGGAUUAGAUACCCUGGUA
rnacentral:rRNA from 1 species